AGUGAACGCUGGCGGUAGGCCUAACACAUGCAAGUCGAACGGCAGCACAGUAAGAGCUUGCUCUUACGGGUGGCGAGUGGCGGGCGGGUGAGGAAUACAUCGGAAUCUACUUUUUCGGGGGGGAUAACGUAGGGAAACUUACGCUAAUACCGCAUACGACCUACGGGUGAAAGCAGGGGAUCUUCGGAGCUUGCGCGGAUGAAUGAGCCGAUGUCGGGUUAGCUAGUUGGGGGGGUAAAGGCCCACCAAGGCGACGAUCCGUAGCUGGUCGGAGAGGCUGAUCAGCCACAUUGGAACUUGGACACGGUCCAGACUCCUACGGGAGGCAGCAGUGGGGAAUAUUGGACAAUGGGCGCAAGCCUGGUCCAGCCAUACCGCGUGUGUGGAGAAGACCUUCGGGUCGUGAAGCCCUUUUGUUGGGAAAGAACAGCAGCAGGUUAAUACCCCGCUGUUCUGACGGUACCCAAAGAAUAAGCACCGGCUAACUUCGUG
rnacentral:rRNA from 1 species